rnacentral:rRNA from 1 species
AAUAGAUACCCGGGUAGUCCACGCCGUAAACGAUGGAUACUAGCUGUUUGAGCGCAAGUUUGAGUGGCUAAGCGAAAGUAAUAAGUAUCCCACCUGGGGAGUACGGGCGCAAGCCUGAAACUCAAAGGAAUUGACGGGGGCCCGCACAAGCGGUGGAGCAUGUGGUUUAAUUCGAUGAUACGCGAGGAACCUUACCAGGGCUUAAAUGUAGAUUGACGUAUUUGGAAACAGAUAUUUCUUCGGACAAUUUACAAGGUGCUGCAUGGUUGUCGUCAGCUCGUGCCGUGAGGUGUCAGGUUAAGUCCUAUAACGAGCGCAACCCCUGUUGUUAGUUGCCAGCGAGUAAUGUCGGGAACUCUAGCAAGACCGCCAGUGUAAACUGUGAGGAAGGUGGGGAUGACGUCAAAUCAUCACGGCCCUUACGUCCUGGGCCACACACGUGCUACAAUGGCCGGUACAGAGAGCAGCCACUUAGCGAUAAGGAGCGAAUCUAUAAAGCCGGUCACAGUUCGGAUCGGAGU